AGGUCAAAAAAUUUGACUGAUACAAAAACCGCGAGAAGCAAAUAUGAUUCGAAUGCACUUUGUUACAAUUUGCUACUCCGAUCCCUCUAUCUAGAAAUACAUGCACUUUUGGAAAUUUUAGAACAGAGUAAGGAGGAAAUAAGGAAAAUACCUUAUACUUUUGGACAGGUUUCAAAUGCAACAAGUCCUUAUAUAUAUUCGUCGACGGAGGGAUCGAGCUAGUACAUGGUAAAUAAGUGGUAGCUAGGUUACGUGAUUGAAUGGCUCGCGGCGUCCUCCUCACACUUGCUGAUUAUUAUUUUUGUGCUUCCGACCUCCGGCCUCCUUAUCUUCAUCUUGGCUUUUGAAGAUUACGGAAGUACUAGUACAACUCGCGGCAUCUGCAUCACCUUGCUCUCUACUCUGCUCUAGAUGACCUGAUGCCAUGGCCGCUAGUGUUUCCUCCUUGUUCUUGCUCCAGAGCACGCAGUAGAGGCCCGUAGGACGAUGUGCUUCGACAGACAAAGGUCUGCCCUUCCGCUUAUGGUUCAGGUGCAAUGCCUAUCGUCGUCUAGCUAUGGAUCAAUGGAUCAAUGGAUCGAAGGAGCAGUAUUGGACCAGAUAUGGGAGGCUGCAGGAACAAAAGGAAAGCUCAAGAGUGUGACGUGAAAUUGUGAACAUGCCUCUAUGUUUUCUGCAUUUGCAUUAGCAGUUGAUGCAUUUACGCUGCUUGCCCUGCAUCGUCAGAGAACAGCGAUAAUUGUACAGGUGGUGACAGACCUUUCUGUCCAUCGGCUGCACGAAAUUAUACUUGCUCAGCUU